UACGUAGGGGGCGAACGUUAUCCGGAAUCAUUGGGCGUAAAGGGUGCGUAGAUGGCAAAAUAAGUUAACGGUGGCAAAUCGGGGCUCAACCUCGUGGAAGCCGGUAAUACUGUUUUGCUUGAGUGCAGGAGAGGUUAAUGGAACUACAUGUGGAGCGGUAAAAUGUGUAGAUAUAUGGAUGAACACCAAUAACGGCGAAGGCAGUUAACUACUCUGCUACUGACAUUGAGGCACGAAAGCGUGGGGAGCAAACCGG
rnacentral:rRNA from 1 species